GAUGAACGCUGGCGGCGUGCCUAAUACAUGCAAGUCGAGCGAACAGAUGAGGAGCUUGCUCCUCUGACGUUAGCGGCGGACGGGUGAGUAACACGUGGAUAACCUACCUAUAAGACUGGGAUAACUUCGGGAAACCGGAGCUAAUACCGGAUAAUAUAUUGAACCGCAUGGUUCAAUAGUGAAAGACGGUUUUGCUGUCACUUAUAGAUGGAUCCGCGCCGCAUUAGCUAGUUGGUAAGGUAACGGCUUACCAAGGCAACGAUGCGUAGCCGACCUGAGAGGGGGAUCGGCCACACUGGAACGGAGACACGGUCCAGACUCCUACGGGAGGCAGCAGUAGGGAAUCUUCCGCAAUGGGCGAAAGCUUGACGGAGCAACGCCGCGUGAGUGAUGAAGGUCUUCGGAUCGUAAAACUCUGUUAUUAGGGAAGAACAAAUGUGUAAGUAACUAUGCACGUCUUGACGGUACCUAAUCAGAAAGCCACGGCUAACUACGUG
rnacentral:rRNA from 1 species